rnacentral:lncRNA from 1 species
GGCAUCUACAUAUCUGAUUAUACAAUUUGAGAUCUACAUCUCCAUAUUUGAUUUCACAAUUUGAGAUCGUCAUCUGCAUAUCUGAUUCUACAAUUUGAGAUCUAAGUCUACAUUUCAGUUCUACAAUUUGAGAUCUACAUCUACAUAUUUGAUUCUACAAUAUGAGUUCGACAUUUACAUAUUUGAUCCUACAAUGUGAGAUCUACAUCUACAUAUUUAAUUNN